GCUGGGCACAGUGGCACAUGUCUAUAGUCCCAGCUACUUGGGGGCUGAGGCAAGGGAAUCACUUGAGCACAGGAGUUUAGGACCAGCCUGGGCAACAUACAACAUUGAGAGGCCUAAUCUCUU
rnacentral:sRNA from 1 species